GUGAAAUUCCGUCGGAAUCUGGGAGGACCAUCUCCUAAGGCUAAAUACUCUCUAGUGACCGAUAGUGAACCAGUACCGUGAGGGAAAGGUGAAAAGCACCCCGGAAGGGGAGUGAAAUAGAACCUGAAACCGUGUGCUUACAAGUAGUCAGAGCCCGUUAAUGGGUGAUGGCGUGCCUUUUGUAGAAUGAACCGGCGAGUUACGAUUUGAUGCAAGGUUAAGCAGUAAAUGUGGAGCCGUAGCGAAAGCGAGUCUGAAUAGGGCGUUUAGUAUUUGGUCGUAGACCCGAAACCAGGUGAUCUACCCUUGGUCAGGUUGAAGUUCAGGUAACACUGAAUGGAGGACCGAACCGACUUACGUUGAAAAGUGAGCGGAUGAACUGAGGGUAGCGGAGAAAUUCCAAUCGAACCUGGAGAUAGCUGGUUCUCUCCGAAAUAGCUUUAGGGCUAGCCUCAAGUGAUGAUUAUUGGAGGUAGAGCACUGUUUGGACGAGGGGCCCCUCUCGGGUUACCGAAUUCAGACAAACUCCGAAUGCCAAUUAAUUUAACUUGGGAGUCAGAACAUGGGUGAUAAGGUCCGUGUUCGAAAGGGAAACAGCCCAGACCACCAGCUAAGGUCCCAAAAUAUAUGUUAAGUGGAAAAGGAUGUGGCGUUGCCCAGACAACUAGGAUGUUGGCUUAGAAGCAGCCAUCAUUUAAAGAGUGCGUAAUAGCUCACUAGUCGAGUGACACUGCGCCGAAAAUGUACCGGGGCUAAACAUAUUACCGAAGCUGUGGAUUGUCCUUUGGACAAUGGUAGGAGAGCGUUCUAAGGGCGUUGAAGCAUGAUCGUAAGGACAUGUGGAGCGCUUAGAAGUGAGAAUGCCGGUGUGAGUAGCGAAAGACGGGUGAGAAUCCCGUCCACCGAUUGACUAAGGUUUCCAGAGGAAGGCUCGUCCGCUCUGGGUUAGUCGGGUCCUAAGCUGAGGCCGACAGGCGUAGGCGAUGGAUAACAGGUUGAUAUUCCUGUACCACCUAUAAUCGUUUUAAUCGAUGGGGGGAC
rnacentral:rRNA from 1 species